rnacentral:rRNA from 1 species
GACAGAGGGUGCGAGCGUUGUCCGGAAUUAUUGGGCGUAAAGGGCUCGUAGGCGGUUUGUCGCGUCGGGAGUGAAAACUCAGGGCUUAACCCUGAGCCUGCUUCCGAUACGGGCAGACUAGAGGUAUGCAGGGGAGAACGGAAUUCCUGGUGUAGCGGUGAAAUGCGCAGAUAUCAGGAGGAACACCGGUGGCGAAGGCGGUUCUCUGGGCAUUACCUGACGCUGAGGAGCGAAAGUGUGGGGAGCGAACAGG